rnacentral:tRNA from 1 species
GGCGGAACAGGCAGACGCACAGGACUUAAAAUCCUGCGGUAGCGAUACCGUACCGGUUCGAUUCCGGUC